UUUGUGGAUUUCAAGCUUGAAAAAUGAGGGGGGAUAGUUCUCUAUUUAUAGAGGAAGCAAAAGGGUUGAAGUGGGUGAAAGAAAAUCACUUUGUGGUGAAAAAACAGACUUACUACUGUUGUUUCCGCAGUGGAAAUCGAUUUCCCUAAUUGGGGUAAUCGAUUUCCCAAUUUUAUUUUUAUUUUUUUUAAAGUGUAAACACCAUGCCUUGGCCCGUUCCACAUGCCUUUGCAACUAUGGUGAUGGAAAGAUGAAU
rnacentral:lncRNA from 1 species